UUUUGAAACUUGGUUCACUCCUUACGGGGGAGACAGUCAUGAGACGUGAGUAUAAGACCUGAGUGUAAAGACCUUAGGGUGAAGCAAUUGGAGGGCAAGCUUUGGUGCCAGCAGCCGCGGUAACUCCAACUCCAAGAGUGUCUAUGGUGGAUGCUGCAGUUAAAGGGUCCGUAGUCGUGAAUGCAAUUAAAUGUCGUUGUUCAAUAGCGAUGAGUUUGCUAAUGUUUGCGGAACGGAUAGGGAGUGUAGUAUAGACUGGCGAAGAAUGAAAUCUCAAGACCCAGUUUGGACUAACGGAGGCGAAGGCGACACUCUUAGACGUAUCUUAGGAUCAAGGACGAAGGCAGGAGUAUCGAAAGUGAUUAGACACCGCUGUAGUUCCUGCAGUAAACUAUGCCGACAGCCUGUGUGUGAGAAUACGUGGGCGGGAGAAAUCUUAGUGUUCGGGCUCUGGGGAUAGUACGCUCGCAAGGGUGAAACUUAAAGCGAAAUUGACGGAAGGACACUACCAGGAGUGGAUUGUGCUGCUUAAUUUAACUCAACGCGGGAAAACUUACCAGGGUCAAGUCAUUCGUUGAUCGAAUACGUGAGAAUGGCAGGAUGGGUGGCAUGGA
rnacentral:rRNA from 1 species